UACGGAGGGAGCUAGCGUUGUUCGGAAUUACUGGGCGUAAAGCGCACGUAGGCGGCUUUGUAAGUUAGAGGUGAAAGCCCGGGGCUCAACCCCGGAAUUGCCUUUAAGACUGCAUCGCUUGAAUCCGGGAGAGGUGAGUGGAAUUCCGAGUGUAGAGGUGAAAUUCGUAGAUAUUCGGAAGAACACCAGUGGCGAAGGCGGCUCACUGGACCGGGUAUUGACGCUGAGGUGCGAAAGCGUGGGGAGCAAACAGG
rnacentral:rRNA from 1 species